rnacentral:rRNA from 1 species
UACGGAGGGUGCGAGCGUUGUCCGGAAUCACUGGGCGUAAAGGCGCGUAGGCGGCUGGGGAAGUCCGUGGUGAAAGCUCGUGGCUCAACUGCGAGUCGGCCAUGGAUACUCCUCGGCUCGAGCACUGUAGAGGCAGGUGGAAUUCCGGGUGUAGCGGUGGAAUGCGUAGAGAUCCGGAAGAACACCGGUGGCGAAGGCGGCCUGCUGGGCAGUAGCUGACGCUGAGGCGCGACAGCGUGGGGAGCAAACAGG